rnacentral:rRNA from 1 species
GUUUGAUCAUGGCUCAGGAUGAACGCUAGCGGCAGGCUUAACACAUGCAAGUCGAGGGGUAUAGUUCUUCGGAACUAGAGACCGGCGCACGGGUGCGUAACGCGUAUGCAAUCUACCUUUUACAGAGGGAUAGCCCAGAGAAAUUUGGAUUAAUACCUCAUAGUAUAUAGCCCUGGCAUCAGGAUUAUAUUAAAGUCACAACGGUAAAAGAUGAGCAUGCGUCCCAUUAGCUAGUUGGUAAGGUAACGGCUUACCAAGGCUACGAUGGGUAGGGGUCCUGAGAGGGAGAUCCCCCACACUGGUACUGAGACACGGACCAGACUCCUACGGGAGGCAGCAGUGAGGAAUAUUGGACAAUGGGCGCAAGCCUGAUCCAGCCAUGCCGCGUGCAGGAUGACGGUCCUAUGGAUUGUAAACUGCUUUUAUACGAGAAGAAACACUCCGACGUGUCGGAGCUUGACGGUAUCGUAAGAAUAAGGAUCGGCUAACUCCGUGCCAGCAGCCGCGGUAAUACGGAGGAUCCAAGCGUUAUCCGGAAUCAUUGGGUU